rnacentral:sRNA from 1 species
CCACAGCCAAGAAUGUCUGUUUUGAUGGCUAGAAAGUUACUUCGUUUUCACUGCACUUCUUGAUUCUUGUUUUUAAGGGAAAAAACAACUGCAAAACAACAACUUGCAGUUGUUUGGCUUGAAGCUGUUGAUUGAUGUUUGAGUGACUGUCAGUGAUUUCCUGGCUAGGUGUUACUUUAAAAAAAAAAGAAACGGAUUUAAAUUCGGUUUUGUGCUUCGAUAGGGUUAAAACAUUAUUUACACGUUAGCUGGUGGUCUGGACUUUAUCUUUAGUAGAGGAAAGUAACCUACUUAAUAAUUGUUGGAAAUCGUUCUUUCUAACCAUGUCUACGCUUUAUUUCAUGUGCUUCUUACUGUGCAUUCACCAAGUCAUUGGCGCAGCAUAUCAACAUUGUCGCCAGGCCACUGAAUGCGCUCGCAAUGAAUGCUGCCUUUUGGACAAGUCCACCAAAAAGGGAGUCUGUAGACCCAUGGGUGGGGUCGCCGCCAGGUGUUACGUCAGUCAGCCUUACGUUUGGACACGUCCCGUGGCCAUGAUUACCAACUAUGACCUCUGCCCCUGUGAACCUGGCAACAUUUGUGGUGCGAUCGAUAGUUUCGACAGUGUUUAUGGGCAGAAAGGAAUUUGUUCUUUUGGAAAGUAAAUAAAAGGAUUUCCUUUUUGAAAAAAAAAA